UGGCGGACGGGUGAGUAAUGUCUGGGAAACUGCCCGAUGGAGGGGGAUAACUACUGGAAACGGUAGCUAAUACCGCAUAACGUCGCAAGACCAAAGAGGGGGACCUUCGGGCCUCUUGCCAUCGGAUGUGCCCAGAUGGGAUUAGCUAGUAGGUGGGGUAACGGCUCACCUAGGCGACGAUCCCUAGCUGGUCUGAAAGGAUGACCAGCCACACUGGAACUGAGACACGGUCCAG
rnacentral:rRNA from 1 species